CUUUGGGAUAACCCUCGGAAACGGGGGCUAAUACCGGAUAUGACCUUCUGCCGCAUGGUGGGGGGUGGAAAGUCUUUCGGCCUGGGAUGGGCUCGCGGCCUAUCAGCUUGUUGGUGGGGUGAUGGCCUACCAAGGCGGUGACGGGUAGCUGGCCUGAGAGGGCGACCGGCCACACUGGGACUGAGACACGGCCCAGACUCCUACGGGAGGCAGCAGUGGGGAAUAUUGCACAAUGGGCGGAAGCCUGAUGCAGCGACGCCGCGUGAGGGAUGACGGCCUUCGGGUUGUAAACCUCUUUCAGUAGGGACGAAGCGUUUGUGACGGUACCUACAGAAGAAGCGCCGGCCAACUACAUGCCAGCAGCCGCGGUAAGACGUAGGGCGCGAGCGUUGUCCGGAUUUAUUGGGCGUAAAGAGCUCGUAGGCGGCUUGUUGCGUCGGCUGUGAAAACCCGGGGCUUAACUGCGGGCUUGCAGUCGAUACGGGCAGGCUAGAGUUCGGUAGGGGAGACUGGAAUUCCUGGUGUAGCGGUGAAAUGCGCAGAUAUCAGGAGGAACACCGGUGGCGAAGGCGGGUCUCUGGGCCGAUACUGACGCUGAGGAGCGAAAGCGUGGGGAGCGAACAGGAUUAGAUACCCUGGUAGUCCACGCUGUAAACGUUGGGCGC
rnacentral:rRNA from 1 species